rnacentral:rRNA from 1 species
GACGAACGCUGGCGGCGUGCCUAAUACAUGCAAGUAGGACGCAGUUGCGAACGGGUGAGUAACGCGUAGGUAACUACCUAUUAGAGGGGGAUAACUACUGGAAACGAUAGCUAAUACCGCAUACUAGUAGAUGGACCUGCGUUGUAUUAGCUAGUAGGUAGGGUAAUGGCCUACCUAGGCAACGAUACAUGGCCGACCUGGUAAGGUGAACAGGCACACUGGGAAUGGAACACGGCCCAGACUCCUACGGGAGGCAACAAUAGGGGAUCUUCGGCAAUGGGGCGAACCCGGACCGAGCAACGCCGCGUGAGUGAAGGAGGUUUUCGGAUCGUAAAGCUCUGUUGUUAAGGAAGCGGUACUUAACCAAAAAGGGACGGCUAACUACGUGCCAGCAGCCGCGGUAAUUC